rnacentral:rRNA from 1 species
CCAAUAGCGUAUAUUAAGGUUGCUGCGGUUAAAAAGCUCGUAGUUGAAUUUCGGGAUUGAUGCAUCGGUCGUGCCUUAAGGGGUAUGAACUGGUGUGGUCAAUUUCUUACCUUCUGGUGAAUUGUGAUGUCCUCCUUAAUUGGGUGUUUCAAUGAACUAGGACUUUUUACUUUGAAAAAAUUAGAGUGUUUAAAGCAGGC